GUGAUGGAGUUGUUCCGUAGAUGACAACCUUUAAAUGCAAAAGUGAAUCUUUUAAGUGACUUCAUCACUGAACAAGUUAUGCUAUAAGAAUGAAAAUGAGCUUUUGUAAUUAAUUCAUUACAGGUGGAUAAUAUAUUUCCAAAUAUAUUUGAUAAAUAUGACACACCAUAUCAAAUGAUAUUUCAAAGUUGUGAAUAAAACAACUAUUAAUGGAGUCUGUUUUUACAAGAAAAUAUUUUGUCAGUUUUUCUACUUCAAAAUGUCAUGUUUAAUUCAAUGUGUAUAACUUGCCAUUUCUUUGUUAAUAUUUGUAAGAUUUAUUAGAGAUUUCUGUUUAUAAACUGAUUUAAAGGAAAGGGGCAUUCACACCAAAAAUGAUAACUAUAAAGCAGCGCUAUCCAAGGGACAGAUUCGAUGUUGUGGACACACCUGGGGGCCGGACACUAUACAGUAUAUAUAAUAUUUGAAACUAACAUUUGAAACCAGUGGCACCAGCAAUAUUAAUAACAUUAAAUGUGUUGUCUCUUGGACAGUAGCUUUAGUUGAAAGUAGCAGUAGCUUGAGUUGGGAUGCAGAUUUUGUCUUUUUUUUUUUUUCAUUAAUACAUCUAUUUAAAAAAAAAGUAACCUUUUUAAAGGGAUAAAUAUGAAUAAUCUUACUGAGGCAGGACUCUAAUAUCAUUAAAGGGGACAUGAACUGUCUUUGUUUUUCAUUUUGUACUGUUCUUUGAGGUGUGUUAUCAAGAUUUUAACAUUUAAACCCCAUCAUUUAGAAGUAAUAAGCUAUUUUCUGUCCUGUUUUUUAACCCUCUUAUCAGAACGCUCUGUUUGAACAGGCGUGGUGGAUUGUAGACUCAGAAGUAUACACCCACUGAUACGAUUGGCUAACAGUCGUGUAAGUUUUGACAGCGUACAUCCCUCACAGACAUAAAACAUAUCAAACAAUCUGUAAUAACAGACUAAGCAAAAGUGACCAAAUUAUAAAACAGUUACACUUGUGUAUUGCGACAUUACUACUGGACCCAAUAUAUUCAGCACAGCAUCGUCUUUGAGUUUCAAUCUUUUUGAAAAUCUCGUGUUGAAUUGUGCCUCGUUUGUAAACAAAUCCGCUGUAAAAUAAAGUGGAAGAACGGCGAUUUCUUGCUGACAUGGUCUGGACCUUCAUUAGAAAUAAAGUUCAUCCCCUCUUUCCUAAAGAUGGGAGCAGAACGAAAGCAAAGCAAAGACUAUUUUUUCGACAACUUGGCACUGCACAGCGUCUUCUUGUCUUUAGAGCCAUCUUUAUCAUUUGGCUUCGGUGUAGACCCGCGUCGACCUGCUGUGUGUGUGCACUUUGGAUGGGUUAAAUGCAUAGCAUGAAUUCUGAGUAUGGGUCACCAUACUUGGCUGUAUGUCCUUUCACUUUAAAAUUAACAUUUGGUCUUCCACAGUAUCAUACACGUAGACCAGGGGUGUCAAACUCAAUUCCUGGAGGGCCAGAGCCCUGCAUAGUUUAGAUUCAACCCUAAUUAAACACACCUGAUCCAACUAAUCAGGUCUUUCAGGCUUAUUUGAAAGCUAAAUGGUAUAUGUGUUGGAACAAAACUCUACAGGGCUCCAGCCCUCCAGGAAUUGAGUUUGAUACCCCUGACUUAGAUCAUGACAACCACGGGUAAAACCACACAUGGUCUUCACAGCUGCUUGUUUGGACUGACUGAUCAAGCUGUCCAUCUUUUUCAGACACGCCAUAUUUCAGUGAUAGUCCUUGUAAGGUCUCACCGGGCUGGACUUUAUGCUCAAUUCGUCUUUGUCUAACGGGUGAUAAUGAAGAGGACACCAGGCUGCCGUAGGACCGGGUG